GCGUCCCGCCGCGAGAUGCUGGAGCGCGAGCCGGACCGUUGGCGAGCUUCCUGAGUGGCCCCUGGGAGGGACGUCGGAGUUGCAAGGGUGCCUUAAGAUCACCGCUAGUCUGACCCCCUCGUUUUUGUGGGGAAACUGAGGCACCGAGAAAGGGCAGAGUCGAUGGGCAGCCCCUAUCGCCUCUGCCUUUCCUGAUUACACGUCUGGUUUCUCCUCAGACGCAAGCGGCCGCCUCGGAGACCUUCCCUGACCAUUCUUGGUAGUCUCUCCCAGGGUAACGUGCUUGAGCUCCUUUGUUACACUUAUCGCUGUCUGCAGUUAACUCUGUUUCUGCUUUCCUCCGCCAAGUGUUUUAUUAUAUCCGUGUGCACACACUCCGCCCAGGCAAGCAUCUGUGACACGCCAGGCGCUGUGCUGCGGGCCAGGGCCAAAAUGAGUCUGUUUGGAACAACCUCGGGUUUUGGAUCUGGUGGGACCAGCAUGUUUGGCAGCACAACCACAGAUAAUCACAACCCUAUGAAGGUACCACAUACAGCUUCACAGGGUUUUUAGAAACAGCACAGGCCAGAGAAUCCCACAUCCGUGAUAGCAAGAGAAUCCCAGUUGGUGUGGGAGCCUCCUUUGAGGUGAACAUGCUGAAAUUUUGUUCAGCCUGCUUUCUCAAAUACUGGAGCAGAGGAACUGUGUGUCCCCUGGACUGGUGUCCUAUUUCCCCUAACAUUCCUAGUCACCAAAAUCACACGAGGUGCUUGUUAAGAU
rnacentral:lncRNA from 1 species